rnacentral:rRNA from 1 species
GCGGCAGGCCUAACACAUGCAAGUCGAGCGGAAACGAGUUAUCUGAACCUUCGGGGGACGAUAACGGCGUCGAGCGGCGGACGGGUGAGUAAUGCCUAGGAAAUUGCCCUGAUGUGGGGGAUAACCAUUGGAAACGAUGGCUAAUACCGCAUGAUGCCUACGGGCCAAAGAGGGGGACCUUCGGGCCUCUCGCGUCAGGAUAUGCCUAGGUGGGAUUAGCUAGUUGGUGAGGUAAGGGCUCACCUAGGCGACGAUCCCUAGCUGGUCUGAGAGGAUGAUCAGCCACACUGGAACUGAGACACGGUCCAGACUCCUACGGGAGGCAGCAGUGGGGAAUAUUGCACAAUGGGCGCAAGCCUGAUGCAGCCAUGCCGCGUGUGUGAAGAAGGCCUUCGGGUUGUAAAGCACUUUCAGUCGUGAGGAAGGUAGUGUAGUUAAUAGCUGCAUUAUUUGACGUUAGCGACAGAAGAAGCACCGGCUAACUCCGUGCCAGCAGCCGCGGUAAUACGGAGGGUGCGAGCGUUAAUCGGAAUUACUGGGCGUAAAGCGCAUGCAGGUGGUUUGUUAAGUCAGAUGUGAAAGCCCGGGGCUCAACCUCGGAAUAGCAUUUGAAACUGGCAGACUAGAGUACUGUAGAGGGGGGUAGAAUUUCAGGUGUAGCGGUGAAAUGCGUAGAGAUCUGAAGGAAUACCGGUGGCGAAGGCGGCCCCCUGGACAGAUACUGACACUCAGAUGCGAAAGCGUGGGGAGCAAACAGGAUUAGAUACCCUGGUAGUCCACGCCGUAAACGAUGUCUACUUGGAGGUUGUGGCCUUGAACCCUGGCUUUCGGAGCUAACGCGUUAAGUAGACCGCCUGGGGAGUACGGUCGCAAGAUUAAAACUCAAAUGAAUUGACGGGGGCCCGCACAAGCGGUGGAGCAUGUGGUUUAAUUCGAUGC